rnacentral:lncRNA from 1 species
UCUUUCAGCAUCAGUAGAACACGCCUGACUGCAAGACCACCUAUUCAAGACCUGCAGUUGUCUCAGGGGUGCCCUACUGAACCAGCAAGCAAAGACAUCAGGAUGCAUUACAGCUUUGAUUUUGCUCAACAAGUGCAUUAUCCUUCUGACCCUAUGCAGCCAGGUCCCAUCUACUUUUUAACUCCUCGCAAGUGUGGCUUGUUUGGUGUCUGCUGUGAAGGAAUGCCACAACAAGUCAACUACUUGAAUGAUGAAGGCAUGUCAUCCAGCAAAGGAAGCAGCGCAGUCAUCAACUACAUGCACCAGUUCUUCACCAACUACGGAGUUGGGGAAACACGUGUGGACCUGAAUUGUGAUAACUGCAGUGGCCAAAACAAGAACACGUUUGUGCUCUGGUAUUGUGCCUGGCGGACCAUGCACAAGCUCCACCACAGUCUGGACCUUAACUUCCUGAUCACAGGCCACACCAAGUUUGCUUGGUGCUUUGGCCUCAUCAAGCAGCGCUUCAGAAAGACCAGAGUGAAUACUUUGUCUGAGAUGGCUGGUGUUGUGAAAGACAGCACAGUGACAGGGGUCAACAUCCCACAGUUGUUUAGACUAGAUGAUGGUUCGGUGCUGGUGAAAAGCUAUGGCUGGCAACCACACCUGACUCCGUACUUCAGGCCGCUGCCACAGAUCAAGCAGUAGCAGCACUUCAACUUUGAUGCUCUGGAGCCUGGUGUUGUCGCCAAGGAGCGUUCAGUCAGGACCAGGUUUCAGCUGCUGCACAACGCUGACAUCCUUCCUCCCAUAGAUGGUCUGCCUGUACAAGCACCACCUGGACUGGACAAAUCUAGACAAACAUAUAUUUUUGAGAAGAUCAGGUAGUGUUGCGACAAAGAGGCUUUGGACAUCACAUGCCCUGCACCAAAGUCAAGGGCAGGACAGGAACAGGCUCUCCGAAUAUAGAUUCCCUUGUUCAUGCGUGGUUCGGACAGACCAGUCAUCAGCACUAUCUGCAGUACUUCUAUUCAAAUGACAAACACACACGCCAUACUUUGCUGCUACUAUUAUGUUUAUUAUCCUGCUGCUCAGCCACUACCCCUGACUGUAUGAAUACAAUUACCUCGUCUAUCACUAUCGUUAUUGAUCUUGUUUGUGUACAUACUGUAUAUUAUUUUAUUUAUAUCGACAUUAUCUAUUUCUGAUAUUGCUGCUAUGCAAGUAACAAUUUUUGUACUGUUUACACCUUCUCUGGCGAUCCGUCCACUUUGCAAGACUUAGCAAAAUAUUGAUAUAUAAAAUGAAUAUUGAUAUGUGUGGUUGUAACAUGAUUUUGUGACAUACCACACACUCACUAAACACAAAUGUUUUGUUUGUAAAUUAUGUCUGAGGGUUGGAGUGUGCCCCUGGCUACCCGUCAAUAAAAAAUAUAAAAAAUGGGCCUGUCUGGUUUAAAGAAUUUGAACUUUUGAUACUUAAGUACAUCUUAGCAAUUCCAAGUACUCAAGUAGUAUUUUAUUGGGUGACUUUUACUUUAGUCAUUUUCUAUUAAGGUAUCUUUACAUCUGGACACUUUCUGUUCACCUAGAAAUGUUCCUUAUUGUAGGCUACUACCACUUUUAGUCUUAAUCUUUACUACACUACUCAUUGUUUAGCACAUGACCUCACAUGUGAAUCCUUAAGCCAGCCCCACCCAUCUCUUUAAGAGGGUGUGAACAAUGCUGAAAGGGUGUAGACAAAGGAGAGCUCUCCAGUCAGUGCCAAAACAUUAAAA